rnacentral:tRNA from 1 species
GCCAGUGUUGCUCAGUGGUUGAGCAUCGAACUGUGAACCAGGAGGUCAAGGUUCAAUUCCUGGUCAUGGCA